rnacentral:rRNA from 1 species
CGAACGGUAACAGGUCUUCGGAUGCUGACGAGUGGCGAACGGGCGAGUAAUACAUCGGAACGUGCCCAGUAAUGGGGGAUAGCUCGGCGAAAGCCGGAUUAAUACCGCAUACGCCCUGAGGGGGAAAGUGGGGGAUCGCAAGACCUCACGUUAUUGGAGUGGCCGAUGGCUGAUUAGCUAGUUGGUAGGGUAAAGGCCUACCAAGGCGACGAUCAGUAGCUGGUCUGAGAGGACGAUCAGCCACACUGGGACUGAGACACGGCCCAGACUCCUACGGGAGGCAGCAGUGGGGAAUUUUGGACAAUGGGGGAAACCCUGAUCCAGCAAUGCCGCGUGUGCGAAGAAGGCCUUCGGGUUGUAAAGCACUUUUGUCAGGGAAGAAAUCCUUUGGGCUAAUACCCUAGGGGGAUGACGGUACCUGAAGAAUAAGCACCGGCUAACUACGUGCCAGCAGCCGCGGUAAUACGUAGGGUGCAAGCGUUAAUCGGAAUUACUGGGCGUAAAGCGUGCGCAGGCGGUUGUGUAAGACAGGUGUGAAAUCCCCGGGCUUAACCUGGGAAUUGCAUUUGUGACUGCACGACUAGAGUGUGUCAGAGGGGGGUGGAAUUCCACGUGUAGCAGUGAAAUGCGUAGAUA